AGAUCAGAAGACACUUCCAGACAUAUGUGUGUGGCAACUUUCAGCAAGCAACGCCUUUCUAAUAGCAGGAGCUGUGCCACCUUUUAAAAUGCCUGCACCGGGUUACUGAACCCUGAAUCCUACUUCCAUGCUUUUCCCUAAUGAUUAACUAUUUGUGCUGGGGCAGAUCCUCUUCUGCCUGUUAGAAAUUCAAGUGCUUACGUGUAAUUGCAUUCAACCCUGCUUAAGUCUUUGGGAAAACCAUCAUGCAGAAUGCAGGUGUGCCCUUCUCACGGUCUUUUUGGUCACUUAAGGCUGAGCUGGACAUAACCUGACACCCUAACGUUGUUGGGUUUUUUUCUGCAGAGUUCAACAGUACUGCACUUGAUGCCUAAGUACCACUUAAACACCUAGUUGGUGGAACAGGAUCUUGCUCUACAGGGUUGUGUAAGAGACAGAACAACAGAACCCCCCUCUGAUGUAUGAGCACCCACAAGGCAGCAGUCAGUGGCUAUAUAUGGACAUCUACACAUCCAUGUAUUCUCAACUUUAAGAGUACAUGACGAGGCUGAGCUGAGAACAAUGAAAGAAGAAAGCAGCUGGGGACCCUUUAGCCUGCUGAAAUGUGCAGGAAGGACUUGAUCAAUCCAGAUUGUGUCCUGAAGCUCCAGUCUAGGACAUAGUGAGCUUUCCUACAGGAGCAGGUCAUGUCAAGGGGGGCAAUUCCUGUGCUCAUAAUUCAGCAGGUCUACAGAACACCUUUGGAAAAUCAACUGAACAAUAGUUUAUACUGGAUUGUAUUGCAUUUGGUAUUGGAUAGCCCAGUAACAUUUUAAUAGUCUUGAAUGAGCAUUUAAUUUAGAUUUAAUAGGGAAGCUACUCUAUUGUAAUUAAAUAUCAAUUGAUUGUUAAAAGAGUACUUGCUAGAUUUAAUAUAUAAAAGAUAAACUUGGGUUGCCAUAUAAUUAACUCAGAAUACAAGAAUAAAAAUGCAAUUAAAUUUUUAGAACACAGAAUUUGUGAAAAUAGUUUAUCAAGUUCACAGGGACUGUGAAAAUUAAAUAAAAACAAGAUGCUAAAUCCA